rnacentral:rRNA from 1 species
GUCAGCUACAAGGCUCACGGCGGAUACCUGGCACACGAGCAUUGAAGAACUGGUUACCUGCGAUAGUUCCGGGGCUGGAGCACGCUUGAUCGGAUUC